rnacentral:rRNA from 1 species
AUGGAGGGGAGCAGCAGCGGCAAGCACUUCAUCCUCGUCCACGGCCUCUGCCACGGCGCGUGGUGCUGGUACAAGCUGGUGCCGAUGCUCCGCGCCGCCGGGCACCGCGUCACCGCGCUCGACAUGGCCGCGUCCGGCGCGCACCCGGCGCGCAUGGACGAGGUGCCAUCCUUCGAGGACUACUCGCGGCCGCUGCUCGACGCCGUGGCCGCGGCACCGGCCGGCGAGAGGCUCGUCCUGGUCGGGCACAGCCUCGGCGGGCUCAACAUCGCGCUCGCCAUGGAGACGUUCCCGCGCAAGGUCGCCGCGGCCGUGUUCCUGGCCGCGUGCAUGCCGUGCGUCGGCAGGCACAUGGGCGCCACCAAAAUUGUUGGCAGCAAAGCUGAUCAUACGCUGGCUACGAUGCUGGUGAGACCGGGCUGCCAGUUCUUGGAUGACCCGACGAUGAAGGACGAGGUUCUGCUCACUGACGCCAACUACGGGUCGGUGAACAAGGUGUACGUGGUGGCCAUGGCUGACGCUUCAAACUCCGAGGAGAUGCAGCACUGGAUGGUCGACCUGAACCCCGGCACGGAGGCCGAGGAGAUCGCCGGAGCCGACCACAUGGCCAUGUGCUCCAAACCCAGGGAGCUCUGUGGUGUCCUGCUCCGGAUCGCCGACACCGACACGUAUGAAUGA